CAAUAGCGUAUAUUAAAGUUGUUGCAGUUAAAAAGCUCGUAGUUGGAUUUGUGGUGUACUUCGGCGGCCCGUCACUAUGUGAUGGAGCUUGCUGAAGUCGCCAUCCUUGGGUGGAUCCUGUGUGGCAUUAAGUUGUCGUGCAGGGGAUGCCCAUCGUUUACUGUGAGAAAAUUAGAGUGUUCAAAGCAGGCUUAUGCCGUUGAAUAUGUUAGCAUGGAAUAAUAAGAUAGGACCUUGGUACUAUUUUGUUGGUUUGCGCACCAAGGUAAUGAUUAAUAGGGACAGUUGGGGGUAUUCGUAUUUCAUUGUCAGAGGUGAAAUUCUUGGAUUUUUGAAAGACGAACUACUGCGAAANCANNNACCAAGGAUGUUUUCAUNAA
rnacentral:rRNA from 1 species